AGCCUUGUGGUGUAAACACGUUAGGUUGCAAACCUAAAGAUGCAAAUUACCAUUUGCCCAGGCUU
rnacentral:tRNA from 1 species